rnacentral:rRNA from 1 species
GAGGAAUAAGCAUCGGCUAACUCCGUGCCAGCAGCCGCGGUAAUACGGGGGAUGCAAGCGUUAUCCGGAAUCAUUGGGCGUAAAGCGCCUGUAGGUUGUUUAAUAAGUCUGUUGUUAAAGACUAGGGCUUAACCCUAGGAAAGCAAUGGAAACUACUAGACUAGAGUAUGGUAGGGGUAGAGGGAAUUUCUAGUGUAGCGGUGAAAUGCGUAGAUAUUAGAAAGAACACCGGUGGCGAAGGCGCUCUACUGGACCAUUACUGACACUCAGAGGCGAAAGCUAGGGUAGCAAAAGGGAUUAGAUACCCCUGUAGUCCUAGCCGUAAACGAUGGAUACUAGAUGUUGCGUUUUUAUGCAGUAUCCUAGCUAACGCGUUAAGUAUCCCGCCUGGGGAGUACGCUCGCAAGGGUGAAACUCAAAGGAAUUGACGGGGGCCCGCACAAGCGGUGGAGCAUGUGGUUUAAUUCGAUGCAACGCGAAGAACCUUACCAAGGCUUGACAUACUACAGAUCCCUUUGAGAAAGGAGAGUGCCUUCGGGAAUGUAGAUACAGGUGGUGCAUGGCUGUCGUCAGCUCGUGUCGUGAGAUGUUGGGUUAAGUCCCGCAACGAGCGCAACCCUUAUUUUUAGUUACCAAUUUUUUGGGUUUUCUAGAGAGACUGCCGGUGACAAACCGGAGGAAGGUGAGGAUGACGUCAAGUCAGCAUGCCCCUUAUGCCUUGGGCUACACACGUGCUACAAUGGCUAAGACAAAGAGUUGCGAACUUGCGAAAGUCAGCUAAUCUCAUAAACUUAGCCUAAGUUCGGAUUGUAGGCUGCAACUCGCCUACAUGAAG